rnacentral:rRNA from 1 species
GAUGAACGCUGGCGGCGUGCCUAAUACAUGCAAGUCGAGCGAACACACCAGGUCUUUGCUCCUCCGACGUUAUCGGCGGACGGGAGAGUAACAUGUGUACAACCUACCUCUAAGAAUGGGAUAAUUAUGGGAAACCGGCGCUAAUAGCGGAUAAUAUAUUGAACCGCAUGGUUCAAUAGUGAAAGUCGGUUUUUCUGUCAGUUAUAGAUGGAUCCGCGCCGCAUUGGCUAGUUGGUAAGGUAACGGCUUACCAAGGCAGCGAUGCGUACCCGACCUGAGAGGGUGAUCGGCCACACUGUAUCUGAGGCUCGGUCCAGACACCGACAGUGGGCAGCGGUAGGGAAUCUUCCGCAAUGGGGGAGAGCCUGACGGAACAAAGCGGCGUCAGUGAUGAAGGUCUUCGGAUCGGAGAGCUCUGUUGUUAGUAGAGAACUAAUGUGUAAUUAGCUAUGCACAUAUUGACGGUACCUGAUCAGGAAGCCACGGCUAACUACGUG